rnacentral:lncRNA from 1 species
AAGCCUCGGUCACACCUUACCGGAUAGCUUGAACGGACGCCUAACGGAUAACUUUUUUUCAAUCCGUUCAUGUCCGUUAGACGUCCGUUCUUAUCCGUUAGGCGUCCGUCCAUAUCCGUUAGGCGUCCGUUAAGCGUCCGUUUUAUCCGUUGACGUCCGUUCUGUCCGGUGGAAAAUUUUGAGCAUGUUCAAAACUUUGAACGGACGUCCAACGGAUAAAAUGUCCGUUGAACGUCCGUUAGUCGUCCGUUAGUCGUCCGUUUUGUACGGUACUCGUCCGUUUUGUAUCCGUUACGUGUCCGUUAUGCAUCCGUUGGAGAUCCGGUAGACCAAUUCACCAACGGACGUCUACCGGACGCCUAACGGACGCCUAACGGAUAAAACGGAUGUAAAACGGACAUUAACGGAAGGAUAACGGAUAAAACGGAUGCCUACCGGAUGUAAAACGGACAAAUGCCAACUGAAAUUUCUCAUGGGUUAUUGCCUUUAAUUUUUAGAGGGUUUAUUGCCUUUAUUUUUCAGAUUAUUUUGUUCAUCCGUUUUAUCCGUUACGCUUCCGUUAGGUGUCCGUUUUAUCCGGUACUCGUCCGUUGGAUGUACGUUCGACGUCCGUUCUGUCCGGUACGUAUCCGUUUCACGUACGUUCAAUGUCCGUUGUGUGUCCGUUAGGCAUUCGUUACAUGUCCGUUAGUACACCAACAGACUCCCAACGGAUAAAAAUUGUGUCAACGGAUAACUUUUUUUUUAUCCGUUAGGCGUCCGUUCGAGCUAUCCGGUAAGGUGUGACCGAGGCUAAAGCAACAAAAACA